rnacentral:rRNA from 1 species
UUGAGAGUUUGAUCCUGGCUCAGAACGAACGCUGGCGGCAUGCCUAACACAUGCAAGUCGAACGAGAAAGCACUUCGGUGUGAGUAGAGUGGCGCACGGGUGAGUAACACGUAGGUGACCUACCGUACAGUGGGGGAUAACCAGAAGAAAUUCUGGCUAAUACCGCAUACGCAGUACAAUUUUGAAAGUAGUACUGGAAAGGAUGCUUCGGCAUUCACUGAACGAUGGGCCUGCGUAGCAUUAGUUUGAUGGUGGGGUAAUGGCCUACCAUGACUACGAUGCUUAGCUGGUCUGAGAGGAUGAUCAGCCACACUGGAACUGAGACACGGUCCAGACUCCUACGGGAGGCAGCAGUGGGGAAUAUUGCGCAAUGGGGGAAACCCUGACGCAGCAAUGCCGCGUGAGUGAGGAAGGGUUUCGGCUCGUAAAGCUCUGUCAGAAGGGAAUAAUGGUUAUUGGUCUAAUAGGCCUUUAAUUUGAAGGUACCUUCAAAGGAAGCACCGGCUAACUUCGUGCCAGCAGCCGCGGUAAUACGAAGGGUGCAAGCGUUGUUCGGAUUUAUUGGGCGUAAAGCGCGCGCAGGCGGACGGCUAAGUCAGAUGUGAAAUCUCGGGGCUCAACCCCGAAGCUGCGUCUGAAACUGGUCGUCUAGAAUCUCGGAGAGGAAAGGGGAAUUUCGCAUGUAGGGGUAAAAUCCGUAGAGAUGCGAAGGAACACCAGAGGCGAAGGCGCCUUUCUGGACGAGUAUUGACGCUGAGGCGCGAAAGCGUGGGGAGCAAACAGGAUUAGAUACCCUGGUAGUCCACGCCGUAAACGAUGUGCACUAGGUUCGGGAGGUAUUGACCCCUUCCGUGCCGUAGCUAACGCAUUAAGUGCACCGCCUGGGGAGUACGGUCGCAAGACUAAAACUCAAAGGAAUUGACGGGGCCCGCACAAGCGGUGGAGCAUGUGGUUUAAUUCGACGCAACGCGAAGAACCUUACCUGGCCUUGACAUGCAGAGAACUUUCCAGAGAUGGAUUGGUGCCUUCGGGAACUCUGACACAGGUGCUGCAUGGCCGUCGUCAGCUCGUGUCGUGAGAUGUUGGGUUAAGUC